rnacentral:snRNA from 1 species
AAUGUCUCACCAUAGUCUCAACAAAUAAAAAACAUACAGAGAAGAUUGGCAUGGCCCCUGCGCAAGGAUGACACACAAAUUUGUGAAGCGUUCCAUAAGUUU